rnacentral:rRNA from 1 species
GAGGAAUAUUGGUCAAUGGACGAGAGUCUGAACCAGCCAAGUAGCGUGAAGGAUGACUGCCAUAUGGGUUGUAAACUUCUUUUAUACGGGAAUAAAGUGAGGCACGUGUGCCUUUUUGUAUGUACCGUAUGAAUAAGGAUCGGCUAACUCCGUGCCAGCAGCCGCGGUAAUACGGAGGAUCCGAGCGUUAUCCGGAUUUAUUGGGUUUAAAGGGAGCGUAGGCGGACGCUUAAGUCAGUUGUGAAAGUUUGCGGCUCAACCGUAAAAUUGCAGUUGAUACUGGGUGUCUUGAGUACAGUAGAGGCAGGCGGAAUUCGUGGUGUAGCGGUGAAAUGCUUAGAUAUCACGAAGAACUCCGAUUGCGAAGGCAGCCUGCUGGACUGUAACUGACGCUGAUGCUCGAAAGUGUGGGUAUCAAACAGGAUUAGAUACCCUGGUAGUCCCACACAGUAAACGAUGAAUACUCGCUGUUUGCGCAC